CGGUCUCGAACGGGAGGCCGUCGCCGCCGAGGGGAAGGAGGGGCUUCGGCUCUUAGAGGUGUAGGAGCAAGAUGUCUCACCGGAAGUUCGAGCACCCUAGGCACGGGUCCCUCGGGUUUCUUCCCAGGAAGCGAGCCUCUCGCCAUUGUGGAAAAGUGAAGUCUUUUCCAAAGGAUGACCCAACGAAACCCUGCAGGCUUACAGCAUUCCUUGGCUACAAGUCUGGAAUGACACACAUUGUCUGUGAGGUUGACAAACCAGGAUCAAGUAUGUUGAGUUUAGUUUAUUGUUUGUUAUAUCUAGUCUUAAGAAGCUUCUCGUUCUAGAAGUAUAUAUAUGUGUGUGCAUGACAUAUGUAUAUGCACGUAUGUUGGUAUGUAUAUGUAGAUCUAUUGCAAUCUAGAUAACAUGUAAAUUUUACCAUCACGUGCUGAUCUUGUCCUGCUGUUAACUUCAGCACCAGUAUCCUUAUUACCACGCCUUACCCUGGUAAAUUUACCAGUCUCAUAAACAUAUUCAUAUCCCUA